AUUCAGUGUAUCUGGUUUUAUGAUAAAAUUGGAAUGAUACAGAGAGGAUUAGCAUGGCCCCUGCACAAGGAUGACUGCGGUUCUUUAGAAAUGUGGAAAGUGCAU
ensembl:snRNA Gm24817 U6 spliceosomal RNA